rnacentral:misc_RNA from 1 species
GAAAUGCGAUAACUAAUGUGAAUUGCAGAAUUCAGUGAAUCAUCGAGUCUUUGAACGCACAUUGCGCCCCCUGGUAUUCCGGGGGGCAUGCCUGUCCGAGCGUCAUUGCUGCCCUCAAGCCCGGCUUGUGUGUUGGGCCCUCGUCCCCCGGCCCCCGGGGGACGGGCCCGAAAGGCAGCGGCGGCACCGCGUCCGGUCCUCGAGCGUAUGGGGCUUCGUCUUCCGCUCCGUAGGCCCGGCCGGCGCCCGCCGACGCAUUUAUUUGCAACUUGUUUUUUUCCAGGUUGACCUCGGAUCAGGUAGGGAUACCCGCUGAACUUAAGC